rnacentral:rRNA from 1 species
UGGGGAAUAUUGCGCAAUGGGGGCAACCCUGACGCAGCAACGCCGCGUGUGUGAUGAAGGCCUUCGGGUCGUAAAGCACUGUCGGGUGGAACGAGCCGCCGGAGGUGAAUAGCCUUCGGCCCGACGGUACCACCUGAGGAAGCACCGGCUAACUCCGUGCCAGCAGCCGCGGUAAUACGGAGGGUGCAAGCGUUGUUCGGAAUUAUUGGGCGUAAAGCGCGUGUAGGCGGACAGUUAAGUCCGGUGUGAAAUCCCUCGGCUCAACUGAGGACGUGCACUGGAUACUGGCGGUCUUGAAUCCUGGAGAGGGUAGCGGAAUUCCCAGUGUAGAGGUGAAAUUCGUAGAUAUUGGGAGGAACACCGGUGGCGAAGGCGGCUACCUGGACAGUGAUUGACGCUGAGACGCGAAAGCAUGGGUAGCAAACAGG